GGGACUGUAAAUGAAAUUAAACCGGGAAAGAAAAAACGAAGCACAAAGCUAAAGAAAGAAUGGCGGCCUGAUGAUAAGAGUUCGCCAUUGAAUAAGAAGGAAAGAAGAAGAAUAAGAGCCACCAAAAAAUAAAGAGAUGCAACCAAUAAAACAAGCAAGCAAAUCCAGGAGAGCAUUACUAUUUUCCAAACUUGUCUUCAAUUACAACAACAGUGCUCUAUCUCAAUCCUCUUCUUCUCUGUUCAACAAUAACAAUGGCACAAGAUUACCAUUCUUGUGUUAUUACCAUUACUAUUCAACAUUAUCUACAAUUCCAAUUCAACAAAUCAAUUUCCACCCCAACUAUACUUACAAGCACGUUGUCCAGUCUUUUAAAGAGUGGUUCAAGACCCAAAACAAUGGAUUCUUGGAUCGAGUUUUCGAGAUCUUAAGCAACCAAGAUGAAGUUGAUGAGCUUGCCCUUUCCCAGUUGGGUCUUCGUUUAACAGAAUCGUUGGUUCUUGAUGUUCUCCAUUAUGGUAAUUCCAAAAAAGACGUUCUUUCUUGCCUUAAAUUCUUUGAUUGGGCUGGUCGCCAAUCUGGGUUUUACCACACUCGCGCCACUUUUCAUGCUAUUUUCAAGAUUUUGUCUAAAGCUAAGCUUAUGCAACUUAUGCUUGAUUUUCUUGAUAAUUAUAUGAAGCAUAGGUUUGCUAAUCAUAAACUUGGAUAUGGGUUUUAUAGUACUUUAAUUAUGGGUUAUUCUGUUGCUGGUAAGCCUCAAGUUGCACUUCAAUUGUUUGGUAAAAUGAGGUUUCUAGGUCGUGAUUUGGAUGCUUUUGCUUAUCAUAUUCUUCUUAAUUCUUUGGUUGAAGAGUGCUGUUUCGAUGCUGUUGAUGACAUUGCUAAGCAGAUUUCUAUUAGGGGUUUUGAGAGUCAUAUAACACAUUCUAUUGUUGUUAAGAGCUUUUGUAAGCAGAGGAUGUUGGAUGAAGCUGAGGCAUAUUUGCGCCGCAUGAUCCUACAGGGUGAAAGUGGUAACGGGGCUGCUGUAGGUAUUCUUGUGGGUGCAUUUUGUCAAAAAGAUCAGUUUGAGAAGGCUGGUCAGUUAAUUGAGGAAUUUAGGGAGUUGAGAGUGGUGCCUCUGUAUCCUGCUUAUGGCGUGUGGCUUCGGAAUUUAGUUCAAAAAGGUAAGCUUGAUGGGGCUUUGGACUUCUUUCAGCAAAAGAAAACUUUAGAAAGCUAUGUUCCAGAGAUUUUCCAUUAUAAUGCUUUACUGUGCAGGCUCUUGAAAGAGAACCGACUCACAGAAGCCUGUGAUUUGUUGAUGGAGAUGAUGGAAGAUGGUUUUUCUCCUGAUAAGGUCACCAUGAAUGCUGCAUUAUCUUUCUUUUGUAAAGCUGGAAUGGUGGAUGUUGCGCUUGACUUGUACAAUUGCAAAUCAGAAUUUGGCCUCUCACCUAGUACCAUGACUUGUAAUUAUCUCAUCAAUUCUUUAUGCAGAGAGGGUAACGUUGAUGAUGCAUACCAUGUGUUGAAGAGUUCUUCUGAGCAUGGUUAUUUCCCAGGUAAAAGAGCAUUUUCCAUGCUUACUGAUGCUUUACAUAGAGAAGGAAAGGUUGAAAUGAUGAACGAACUGUUUUUUUGGGCUCUGGAGCGCAAUUUCAUUCCAAGUGAUUCCAUGUAUGAUAAGUUUAUAUCUGCUCUUUGCAAGGCUAGGAGGUUAGAAGAUGGGUACUUGAUACAUGGAGAACUUAACCGAUUUAAUAGAGUAGCUAAAAAGAGUACUUACUCAAAUUUGAUUCAUGGUUUUAACAAAUUCAACAGGGGGGAUAUUGCUGCUAGGCUUCUUAUCGAAAUGCAAGAUAAGGGUCAUUUGCCUGCUCGUACUUUGUUCAGAGCAGUCAUUCGUAGUCUAUGUGAAAUGGACGACCCAGAAACACGAUUUUUCAACUAUUUAGAUAUGCAACUAUCUCGUCGUGAUCCUAACUGUCAGAUAUAUAACUUCUUUAUCGAUGGAGCUGGGCACGCAAAGAAGCCUGAUAUCGCCAGAAAAGUAUUUGAAAUGAUGCAGAGAAGUGGGAUCGAACCUAAUCAGAGUACUAACAUUCUUAUGUUACAGAGUUAUUUAAAGAGUGAGAGAAUAUCUGAUGCUCUUAAUUUUUUUGAUGCUGUGGGCCAAAGAAGGAAGAUUGGCAGAAAGCUAUACAACACCAUGGUUGUUGGUCUUUGCCAAGUCAACAAAGUGGAUUCUGCAUUGUCCUUCUUCUUGGAAAUGCAGAGUAAUGGAAUGGUUCCUAGUGUUGAGUGUUAUGAGGUUCUUAUAAUGCUACUUUGCUCAAAUAAAAGAUAUAGUACGGCGAUAACUCUUAUUACUGACUUGGAGAAAUUCGGGCGUCGUGUUACAUCCUUUAUCGGUAACAUACUUUUGUUACAUUCCUUGAAAAGCGACGAGCUCUAUGAUGCAUGGCUUCAAGUGAGAGAGGUGCAGAAUGAGACUUCUCUGAAUCUUUUAAUCCUUGGCCAGAUAAUUGGAGCAUUUGCAGGGCGUCUUAAGCUGAGCCAACAAAUUGACAACUUGGAAGAAGUGAUUGAACAGUGCUUCCCACUCGACCUCUAUACUUACAAUAUGUUGAUGAGAAGACUAAGCAUGAGUAACAUUGAUCAUGCUCGUGAGUUGUUUGAUAGAAUAUGUCAGAAGGGUUAUGAGCCAAAUCACUGGACGUAUGAUAUCUUAGUGCAUGGCCUUUUUAAGAAUGGAAGAAUAGGCGAGGCAAGGAGAUGGGUGGAUGAAAUGUUCAGGAAAGGGUUUAGUCCAAGUGGUCGUACCAAAAGCCUCAUGUAACUGAUGUAGUUUAUGGUCAAUAGCUGAAUGCACCUCUUUUGGAGAAAGUGCGUGCAGAUAAAAGAAAACCCCAAGUAUUAUAGAGCAGAGGAGCCUCAUUCCUAUCUAUUAUGGUCAAUCAAAGCAUGUUAAGUAGAGGGUUUAACUUGGCAAAUGUUUGCUUGGAUUUCAUAAGCUUCUAUGGACAUGGUAUCAUUGACAGUUGUAUUGCAAUAGGCUUGUUGAAAUGCCAGCUUAGAGUUGGGCUUGGCUGCUAUACAAUUUGCAUCAGGAGAGAGCAAAUUCUAAUGGGGGAAACGAAUGAAACCAUCAGUACACCCUUCUGAUGUUAACCCAUCAUUAGUAGUUGGUGUAGUCAUAAAUACACCCUUCUGAUGUUUUCUUCUUUUCUUUUUCUUUUCAGUAACAGAUGCAUAUUGGGUUCUUAUGAACUACAGAUGACACAAGUAAAAUUGUUGGGUUUUAGGUACAGUUGAGUCUUGCCAAUCAACUUGGGAAAGAGUGCUAUCAACUGGCCGAAUAAAGGCAUAGGGGCCUUGAUCAAUUCCUAUACUUUGGAAACGAAAGGAAGCUUACAGUUGCCACUGCCACUUCUACUAAAAGGAAGAUCGACCUGGUUAAUACUAUAUGCAGGAACCUGUUGUUAACCGCAAUUAGAAGCAGGGUCAGAAGUUUUUAACCUCAUUUUGGUUUGCAGAUAAUAGCCAAGGCGAGGCGGGCAUCAACAACACAACAAAUUCCAUAGCUGCGUGUCAAGUCUCAAAUCAACAUGGCCACUCAGCAAAAUUUCUGCAUUCAGCAACAUCAAUUAGACAUGCAAGAAAGGAAAAUUUGGCUUUAGAUCUCACCGUGCUGCUGGCAGUCCUGCAAACUUGUUAUUUCGUACAGAGGACACCAGAUCACAGUAGUGUAUUACUGAACAGAUAAUUUUGAGAGAACAAAUUUAUAUCAA